rnacentral:tRNA from 1 species
GCCGUUGGUGGUCGAGGUCGCGGGCGACGACGGCUGGGUACCGUGGACCGAGGUCGAGGGCUUCGGCCGCUCCGAGCCGUUCGACCGGCAC